ensembl:lincRNA
AUGGAAAUUGGAGUCAGGGCUGAGAUACCAGCAGGGGCCAGGGGCACAGGAGCUGGAAACUUGGAGGUGUUGAAGAUGCCAACUCAAGAUCUGGGCAUGGAACAUGACAGCAUUUUAAAGAGGUCCUCUGCCAUCCCCGAUUUCUUCAGUGACGAUGGCGAUUUGAACACCACCGGAAUGACAGAGCAAGACACCGUUCCUGAAAGGAUGCAAGUAUUUCAGGACUCAGGUCUGGAGGACACUGCAGUGAAGGACUCCAAGAGUCCCAACAGUUCAUUUGGGACUUUGGGAUCUGUUCGCACUUUGCCGUUUCCUGCUGGAUCGCAGGAUACUAUGGAAAACCAAGGGCCGGAGCAGGAGCUCCUAGCUUCAGACACAGAUAAGCAGGAAAGCGCAGAGGAAGAGCACGAUCAGAGAUCUCCAGAUCCCGAUAAGCCGAAGCCGCUCCCAAAUCCUGAUAGUUUCCUCGAGGCGAGGGUGGAAGCUCCAAAGGAAGCCAAGCCUGAACGUCCUGGAAAGAAAUCCGGAGGGAAAGAAAAAUCGGAGAAGGCGAGAAGGAAGAAAGGGAAGAGGGGUCAAUCAGAAAACUCUUCGCAACUCUGGGAAAAAAUGGCUCAAUACUUGGUCUCUGUCCUGCUGCCCAUCUCUCUGAAGAUCGCGAAGACCUGCUGGAAAGGAAGCACCUCAAAAUCGAGGGGCAAGGUCCUGAAACGACCAGGGAGGCCACAGACAGGAAAAGCCAGUUGUCUUAUCACAUGCAUAUUUCUCUUAUCAUUGCUGAGAACCGCUUGCUGUGGUGUACUGGCUUGCCCUGGAGACGUUGUGAAACUACAUUUCAACCUCACUGGUAAUUUAAAAGGACAUGUUUCGCUUAUUAACAGCACUUCCAACAUCUACUUUUACUACACUCAACAUCAGCCCAAUACGUGUCGCCCAGAGGUGUUAGAAAAAUUUGAACCAUGCUUGUCCAAGGAUGGCGAAACUCUCUACCUGACCAGGAUCGCAUCAAAGUCCACUGCAAUCAAAUACACCCUGGAGUAUGAGACUGAUGAAGGAGCUUCUGUAACCAUGUCUCUCUCUCUGUCCUUGAAAAAUUGUUCCGAUGACAAGCAUCCCACACCCACGCCACCUACCUCUACUCCAUCUCCCCUUAAGACUGACUGUAAGUUCUACAAUUAACUGCUUUAACAAAAGAUUGUAACCAAUGUGGUUUCCUUUGCACUAUUACUGACUUUGUCGCAUGCAAACUUUUAUUCUCUCAAUGACUCAAAAGUGUGAUGUGUGUUAUAUCGAUUUGGCUGUGAGCAGCCCAUUCAUAAGAACUGCUUCAUGUGUCAUCUCUUUCAUAACUCUCACUUGGGGACUUUUGAGGGAUUUAUUCUGUAAAUCUAAGGUACAUUUGUGCUUUUACUGCUUAAGAACAUAAGAAACGAAAGGAGUUAAUUAUUCCCAGGUUCAUAUGCAGGCAUUUCUUGGAAGAAAGUAUGGUAUUGGCUUUAACAACGUUCUCAUUGAUAGUAGAUAUAUUAAUAAGAAAUCUUGUUGCUUUUUGUUCUCAUCUAGGGGCAGCUACACCUGUCUUCAUUACAGUGGCUUUCGUCUUUCUUGGAUCCUUGAUUGUGGGGCUGAUUUUAAGACACCGCUGUAAGAAGUAAGUGUGACUGAAUCGGUUUUCUGAUUGUGUUGAUAUUGUAUGGGAUUCUGCUAUUUCAGAAGCCAGACCAGGUGUAGUGCAAGUGCUCACAUUACUCCUGUCCUGGAGUCCUUACACUGGCUUCCUCUCAGGUUUCGUGUUGACUUCGACGGCUCGACAUGGCUUGGCAACAUGAGCUAUUUGACUUACUAUCAUUCCACUGUCCACCUCGAAACCUUCAUUCGUCUGAUUCUGGUCUUGUGUCUGUCCCCCAAGCUAUCUUACACUCUAUUAUUCAUAAUAAUUUAUUAAGAAUUUACAUUAUGUAGUAUACCGAGGCAUAUGAGAAGACUGGACUUACACAUCAAGCAUCCAUCCUGGUCUGUCGAUUCAGAUUUGUGAUCAGGGUAUGGGGAAUGUGGAAAAUGUCCCAUCAAGUCUGAAACAAAUCAAGAAAUCCAGCAUCACCUGAAGUGUGAGGAACUUCAAUGUGCAAUUAAGGCUAGAAUAAAUCGUUCGAUACUGCCCUCUAGUGUCUAGCCUGGAGAAAUAACAGGUGAUUUCAGAGGACGGUUGAAGGAAACAAGUUUUUUUUUUUUAUUUUGACUCAGAACAGGUAAGGUAUAUGGAUUUUGUCAGUCAGCUGUAGUCUAUUUCAUGUGAGAGAGCUGAAAGUCCACAUUGUGGUUUGAAAGACAGAAAUUAAAUUUCCUGUUGACAGAAAGCAAUAAAGAACUUCCCUGGUGACAGAAAAGAUAUCGUAAUUCCAGAAUGGAAGUUGAAAACUGAUUAGGUAGACAAUUAUGGCUAACGUGCAGGAGGAUACAGUACAAUCGUGCUAAGCCAGUGUGCAUGGUGAUGAACAGAAUUGUGCAGUGUGUUUUGGGGUUCUUAACCUCAUUCUCUUUUGAUCUUUCUAGGAAGAAAAUGUCAGGUGGAUGCAACACAGUGUUGUGUUAUUCACACAAUAGUGCCUCACAAGAGGAAACCACACAGGAUGGGUAAUUAAUCUUCUGUCUUCACCUAUUCACAUUAAUUUAAACAAAACAUGUUUCCAGAAGCCUAGUAUGCAGAAAAGUGAAAUUUAAGAGAAAAUUACAUUUUGACUUGAAGGAAAACAUAACACUACACUUGACAGAUACACACAGCUCUUUUAUAGUUGAAAGGAUAAGAAGAACUGUAAGGAUUUGUUAAUCUCCUAUUAGCUCGCUAUACAAUAAGUGCUCUCAGACAUUCAGUCAUAAAGCUUGAGCACGUGAAUUUUCUCAGUGCUUGUGUGCAUUUGCCUGAACUUCCAUGAGAUCAGGUUCAUGCAGAUUUUUUUUGUCACUCUAUGUGCUAAGCCUGAAAAAUAUUUGAUUGGGUUUUCUUGCAUUCUGUUGUUAUAAUUAGUUUCAAAAUAAUGCAGUGUAUAGAUCCAUGACUAAGGCUAGGAAAAAUGAAAAAAUGCACUUUAGCAUGGAAAUGUAGAUUAAAACUUGCAUAGCAUUACAAAAAAACAGCUUGACUAUGAAACACAUACCCAACCUUAUGGCUCAUCUGAUUUAUCCCGUACUACCUUACAUCAUGAAUACUCAUGCCAUUCAUCCUUCCUGCAGGCAAGCGAUGAAUCGGAUGUUAAACUGAAAUCCGACUGAUUCUUCAGCAGUGGAUGCUGUAACUCGGACAACAGGAAGCCAGUCUUUGGAAUGAGCUGUAGCUCCAGGUUUGCCUGGCUAGGCCUGGCCUCCACCAUGCUGUUCCUGAAUUGGUUAAAUGAUGAAUUAUACUGAAUUCUAAUAUUAGUAAGGACUGUAAAAUAAAUACCAGUCUGCUUUUCACACCUCCUUUUGAGCCUUGGUUCCUCGCAAGGUUUCUUCUUCCUGUAAUGUGAGGGAGUUUUUCCUGGCCACUGUCGCCUUCGGCUUGCUCACUGGGAGCUCAGGCCCAGGAGUCUGUGAAGCGCUUUUUACAAUGUCACAAGGCAGUGUGGUGGCAUGGCUGCCUCACUGUGUGAGUGCACUGUUUGUAAUUCCAGGGCUUUACAAACAGUGGAGCAUGUACUGUAGGUUUUCUCCUGGUGCUCUGGUCCAGAGACAUACUGGGAAGUGAAUUGGCUUCUGCCCUCCCAUGAACUGGUCCCCCAUCCAGGGUAUACACUUCCUUAUGCCCGGACACUGGAAUAUCUCCCAACUCUUCUUGAGAAAUGCCUGGCCAUCAUUAAUGAUCGCUGAGAGUCAGGACCUCGGUUUAACAUCUCAUCCCAAAGAUGGUGCACACUACAGUAGAGUGUCCCUGCCAUUAUACUGGGGCAUUAGGCACUGGUCCCACUAACACCACUUCCAACAGCAACCAUAGCUUCCCAGGAGGUCACCCACUGACCAGCCUCAACCCUGCUGAGCUUCAGUGGGUGGCCAGCUGAGUGCUGCAGGGUGAUACAGCUGCUGGCUGUAACCCCGUCUGCUUGUGCUUUGUUAUCUAUAAGCAAAUCAUAUAAAUAAUUACGAGCUUCUGCUUAUUAAAUGUAUAUCUGCUUCAUAGUGGUGUAUCGUUUUCCUUAGAUCCGUUACUUCGCUUUUCCAAGGGAAUUUAGUCGAUUGUGUACACUCAACGCGAUAGUUUGUUUUACAUAUCUUAUGCGUUUUAUUCUGCUGUUAUUGUUCUCUUUCCUAGUUGUUGAUACUACUGAAACUGAAAAUAAAAAACUUUGUUUUUCAACAUUUCUCAUGGUCGCUCUUUUGUACUUGACUUUCCCAGACAGUUGCAGGAAAAAAAAAAACGUAUUCGGCGUUGUCACAACAGAUCCAGUCUCAACUAGACGGUGGUUUAGGAAAUUACCUGAACAUGUUGCAAUAUCUUCAGUUCAGCGGCCUGAACUAAAAUUCCAUGAUAAACUUUUUCUAGUAUCA